UUUGGGGAGCUGUAAGUAAGCUUUGAUCCAGAGAUUUCCGAAUGGGGAAACCCAGCAUGAGUUAUGUCAUGUUAUCGAUAUGUGAAUACAUAGCAUAUCAGAAGGCACACCCGGAGAACUGAAACAUCUUAGUACCCGGAGGAAGAGAAAGAAAAUUCGAUUCCCUUAGUAGCGGCGAGCGAAACGGGAAGAGCCCAAACCAACAAGCUUGCUUGUUGGGGUUGUAGGACACUCUAUACGGAGUUACAAAGGACGACAUUAGACGAAUCAUCUGGAAAGAUGAAUCAAAGAAGGUAAUAAUCCUGUAGUCGAAAAUGUUGUCUCUCUUGAGUGGAUCCUGAGUACGACGGAGCACGUGAAAUUCCGUCGGAAUCUGGGAGGACCAUCUCCUAAGGCUAAAUACUCUCUAGUGACCGAUAGUGAACCAGUACCGUGAGGGAAAGGUGAAAAGCACCCCGGAAGGGGAGUGAAAUAGAACCUGAAACCGUGUGCUUACAAGUAGUCAGAGCCCGUUAAUGGGUGAUGGCGUGCCUUUUGUAGAAUGAACCGGCGAGUUACGAUUUGAUGCAAGGUUAAGCAGUAAAUGUGGAGCCGUAGCGAAAGCGAGUCUGAAUAGGGCGUUUAGUAUUUGGUCGUAGACCCGAAACCAGGUGAUCUACCCUUGGUCAGGUUGAAGUUCAGGUAACACUGAAUGGAGGACCGAACCGACUUACGUUGAAAAGUGAGCGGAUGAACUGAGGGUAGCGGAGAAAUUCCAAUCGAACCUGGAGAUAGCUGGUUCUCUCCGAAAUAGCUUUAGGGCUAGCCUCAAGUGAUGAUUAUUGGAGGUAGAGCACUGUUUGGACGAGGGGCCCCUCUCGGGUUACCGAAUUCAGACAAACUCCGAAUGCCAAUUAAUUUAACUUGGGAGUCAGAACAUGGGUGAUAAGGUCCGUGUUCGAAAGGGAAACAGCCCAGACCACCAGCUAAGGUCCCAAAAUAUAUGUUAAGUGGAAAAGGAUGUGGCGUUGCCCAGACAACUAGGAUGUUGGCUUAGAAGCAGCCAUCAUUUAAAGAGUGCGUAAUAGCUCACUAGUCGAGUGACACUGCGCCGAAAAUGUACCGGGGCUAAACAUAUUACCGAAGCUGUGGAUUGUCCUUUGGACAAUGGUAGGAGAGCGUUCUAAGGGCGUUGAAGCAUGAUCGUAAGGACAUGUGGAGCGCUUAGAAGUGAGAAUGCCGGUGUGAGUAGCGAAAGACGGGUGAGAAUCCCGUCCACCGAUUGACUAAGGUUUCCAGAGGAAGGCUCGUCCGCUCUGGGUUAGUCGGGUCCUAAGCUGAGGCCGACAGGCGUAGGCGAUGGAUAACAGGUUGAUAUUCCUGUACCACCUAUAAUCGUUUUAAUCGAUGGGGGGACGCAGUAGGAUAGGCGAAGCGUGCGAUUGGAUUGCACGUCUAAGCAGUAAGGCUGAGUAUUAGGCAAAUCCGGUACUCGUUAAGGCUGAGCUGUGAUGGGGAGAAGACAUUGUGUCUUCGAGUCGUUGAUUUCACACUGCCGAGAAAAGCCUCUAGAUAGAAAAUAGGUGCCCGUACCGCAAACCGACACAGGUAGUCAAGAUGAGAAUUCUAAGGUGAGCGAGCGAACUCUCGUUAAGGAACUCGGCAAAAUGACCCCGUAACUUCGGGAGAAGGGGUGCUCUUUAGGGUUAACGCCCAGAAGAGCCGCAGUGAAUAGGCCCAAGCGACUGUUUAUCAAAAACACAGGUCUCUGCUAAACCGUAAGGUGAUGUAUAGGGGCUGACGCCUGCCCGGUGCUGGAAGGUUAAGAGGAGUGGUUAGCUUCUGCGAAGCUACGAAUCGAAGCCCCAGUAAACGGCGGCCGUAACUAUAACGGUCCUAAGGUAGCGAAAUUCCUUGUCGGGUAAGUUCCGACCCGCACGAAAGGCGUAACGAUUUGGGCACUGUCUCAACGAGAGACUCGGUGAAAUCAUAGUACCUGUGAAGAUGCAGGUUACCCGCGACAGGACGGAAAGACCCCGUGGAGCUUUACUGUAGCCUGAUAUUGAAAUUCGGCACAGCUUGUACAGGAUAGGUAGGAGCCUUUGAAACGUGAGCGCUAGCUUACGUGGAGGCGCUGGUGGGAUACUACCCUAGCUGUGUUGGCUUUCUAACCCGCACCACUUAUCGUGGUGGGAGACAGUGUCAGGCGGGCAGUUUGACUGGGGCGGUCGCCUCCUAAAAGGUAACGGAGGCGCUCAAAGGUUCCCUCAGAAUGGUUGGAAAUCAUUCAUAGAGUGUAAAGGCAUAAGGGAGCUUGACUGCGAGACCUACAAGUCGAGCAGGGUCGAAAGACGGACUUAGUGAUCCGGUGGUUCCGCAUGGAAGGGCCAUCGCUCAACGGAUAAAAGCUACCCCGGGGAUAACAGGCUUAUCUCCCCCAAGAGUUCACAUCGACGGGGAGGUUUGGCACCUCGAUGUCGGCUCAUCGCAUCCUGGGGCUGUAGUCGGUCCCAAGGGUUGGGCUGUUCGCCCAUUAAAGCGGUACGCGAGCUGGGUUCAGAACGUCGUGAGACAGUUCGGUCCCUAUCCGUCGUGGGCGUAGGAAAUUUGAGAGGAGCUGUCCUUAGUACGAGAGGACCGGGAUGGACAUACCUCUGGUGUACCAGUUGUCGUGCCAACGGCAUAGCUGGGUAGCUAUGUGUGGACGGGAUAAGUGCUGAAAGCAUCUAAGCAUGAAGC
rnacentral:rRNA from 1 species